UAAAAGCCAAAUAAAAAAAAAACAAGUUGAUUGCUUUAUAAUAGUUUUAUUUUUUCAACUCUGUCUUUUGUUUCUUUGAUUAAAGGACAUCUUUGCCCUAAUAAAUCCUCAUAUUGAUUCUAUCUCCAAAAAUGUGUUAAUAUUCCCUUUCAUUCACCUUUCUAGUACAACUUUAUCCACUUAAAUUCUGAACCUCUUACUUGAUCCUCCCUUACCUAAACCACCAGACAAUCAAGUUGCCUGUACCACACUCAAAAAAGAACUCAGACACUUCAUAAACAUGACACAAACAUGAUUUACAUUUUUGUUCAGUUUCUGUAAAUAUAUUAAUUUCAGCAUUAUUUAACUGUCUUCCAGCUACUUCUUUACUCUUUAUCUUUCAAAUUCAAAUUGUAGGUAAGCGUUUAUUGCACUCGUAUUGGUAUCAUUAUCCAAAGUUAUUAAUUGAUCUGCCUCUGCUAGUUUCACAAGUGCAUCACCCAGAAAGGACUUUUCCAGUUUCUUCUCACUAUAGCCUCCCAAUUUACAUAUGAUCACUCUAUACUCACGUCCUUAAGUUAGUGGGUUGUGUUAUGCUUAGUAAGUAAUGACUUUUCCUUUUCUUCAGUUAAAGAAGCAUUUUCCUAAUAAUCCUCAUACCAGCUCUCCCUAAAAAUGCGUUCUUGUCCCUCUUGCUUCUACACUUAAUUUAUGCUCCCCUAAAUUUAUGUCUACCCCUCUUCUUAGGAAGCAUUCCACUAGCCUGCCAAUAGCCAGCCUAACACCGUAUACUGAGGAAAACUGGGAACAAGACUCAUCCAGUCAGGACUCCAAUAGCCUAGAUCUAUUCUUCAGUUUACUCCUACAACCCAAUUCCAAUUUACAUAUGGCCACUCUUCUUCCAUUUCUGCUAUAUUCUGUAAUCUAGAUAUUCACACCAGGGACUUGUUAUUUUUCCACUCUGUUAGCUACUGUCUUAUCUUUCCCUCAUCUAUAUAGAAUCACUCUUUCCAACAAUGAUUACUAUUUCCCCUUGUUUACACUAUAGCUUGAUGCACUCUCUCAUUCAUUAAUUUUAAUCUUUUUAAUUUAAUGCGCUUUUGAAAUCAAAAGAAAAGCAGCUGUCAUGCAAUUGAUAUCUUUUUUACUCAUAUACACACAAAUUGAGCAGAGUUAGCUUUUUGGUGUUGAUGAACAGAGUCAAUCUAUCUCUGCUUGGAAUUGAUCUGACUCUGUAUGUUGUCUAAUCUGUUAGAUUUCACACUGUACCAUGAAAGAGUUGGUGUCAAAAUGGAGUGUUAUAACUGUUUUCUAGAAAUCAACUCUGACAGUGUUAGGAGUGACUGACCUAGAUCAGACUGGUCACUGAUUCGUCCGUCCUUUUGGCAGGAGUUAGGACCCCUCCCUUAACUCUAGUGGAAUGCACAGCAGGUGGAAGGAAGGAUAUUUUGUGGAAGAAGACUUUUCGCAUUGUGUCGGAAAUGCUGGCGAAAGUGGAGAUAGGAGGAUUUCAGACAUAUAUUAAAGUUCCAUAGACUGAUGAACUCUUUCAAUUUGAGAAGUUCCUUCAAGAAGACCGUAAAAACAAACCAAGUGGGUUGAAAAUGGAUGAUGAGAGCAAACACCUGUGUUUGAAUGCCAUACAGCCAUGGUGUUUUUGCACAACACUCCACUGAUAUUUGGUGAUGUCACU